CAGUGGGCCAGGAUUUUAUGUAACAUCGUUUGCCACACUUGAUCUCCUUAGUCCUCAUAUCUGAGAUAAUGGAAGUCAAAUAUUGUUUGGAGAGUUGGAAUGAAGAAUGGACUUGAAACCACUUAGAUAGUAGCAUGAGGUCUGACAGAAGACAAUUACUAAUGGGUAUAUUAAGUAUAUCGAUGGGUUACUUGUGUCUAGAGAACAGAGGCCAUUUAUCUUACAUUGUUACCUUCAUACCCAUUAAAGACAUUUGGUAACUGUU